GCCGGAGUAGCUCAGUUGGCAGCUCAGUUGGCAGAGCAACUGAUUCGUAAUCAGUAGGUCGGUGGUUCGAGUCCACUCUCCGGCACCA
rnacentral:tRNA from 1 species